CCUCUUCUUGUUUUUAGCCGUAUGUUACGAGUCCGGGAAGCCUCCUCAAUAUGAGGGAUCCCUCAAAAUCAAAAUAGAGAAGGGCGGGCGGGGCUUCCGCAAGAGCCUCCCCCCUCUUCCCGGUCAAGAUAGAUGGGAAGGAGCCCUAUCAAGUCAAGUAAAGGCCAUAACCAGCCUCUUUAUUUAUGUACGUACACUUUUGUUUCAGGGUGGGGCCGCCCUUCCUCCUGCUAAUCCGNN
rnacentral:lncRNA from 1 species